rnacentral:rRNA from 1 species
UACGUAGGCAGCGAGCGUUGUUCGGAGUUACUGGGCGUAAAGGGUGUGUAGGCGGUUGUUUAAGUUUGGUGUGAAAUCUCCUGGCUUAACUGGGAGGGUGCGCCGGAAACUGGAGUGCUCGAACGUGGGAGAGGAAAGCGGAAUUCCUGGUGUAGCGGUGAAAUGCGUAGAUAUCAGGAGGAACACCUGCGGUGUAGACGGCUUUCUGGACCAUUGUUGACGCUGAGACACGAAAGCGUGGGUAGCAAACAGG